ACAUCCAGAGAACUUUCCAGAGAUGGAUUGGUGCCUUCGGGAACUCUGAGACAGGUGCUGCAUGGCUGUCGUCAGCUCGUGUUGUGAAAUGUUGGGUUAAGUCCCGCAACGAGCGCAACCCUUAUCCUUUGUUGCCAGCGGUUAGGCCGGGAACUCAAAGGAGACUGCCAGUGAUAAACUGGAGGAAGGUGGGGAUGACGUCAAGUCAUCAUGGCCCUUACGAGUAGGGCUACACACGUGCUACAAUGGCGCAUACAAAGAGAAGCGACCUCGCGAGAGCAAGCGGACCUCAUAAAGUGCGUCGUAGUCCGGAUUGGAGUCUGCAACUCGACUCCAUGAAGUCGGAAUCGCUAGUAAUCGUGGGUCAGAAUGCCACGGUGAAUACGUUCCCGGGCCUUGUACACACCGCCCGUCACACCAUGGGAGUGGGUUGCAAAAGAAGUAGGUAGCUUAACCUUCGGGAGGGCGCUUACCACUUUGUGAUUCAUGACUGGGGUGAAGUCGUAACAAGGUAGGCGUAGUGCU
rnacentral:rRNA from 1 species